AUACCUACCUGGCAGGGGAAACACCAGGCUUACGUAGUUGGUUUUCCUAGGGCGAGGCUUAUGCAUUGCGCUUUGGAUGUGAACCCCCUGCGAUUUUGCCAAAUGUGGGAAACUUGACUGCAUAAUUUGUGGUAGUGGGGGACUGUGCUCAGAUUCUCCUC